UCCUACGGGACGCAGCAGUGAGGAAUAUUGGUCAAUGGUCGGGAGACUGAACCAGCCAAGCCGCGUGAGGGAGGAAGGUACAGAGUAUCGUAAACCUCUUUUGUCAGGGAACAAAGGCGGGGACGUGUCCCCGGAUGAGUGUACCUGAAGAAAAAGCAUCGGCUAACUCCGUGCCAGCAGCCGCGGUAAUACGGAGGAUGCGAGCGUUAUCCGGAUUUAUUGGGUUUAAAGGGUGCGCAGGCGGUCUGUUAAGUCAGCGGUCAAAGCCCGGGGCUCAACCCCGGCCCACCGUUUAAACUGGCAGG
rnacentral:rRNA from 1 species